GAACCGACGUCGUUAGGAGAGGUGAUGGGGGCGUGACGGGCGGCGUCAUGCGUCGGUGCGCGUGGAGGCUAGGUCGGUGGGGGGCAGGCUAGGGCGUUGGGAGGAAGGAGGUGUUUAAUAGAAUUUAGAGUGCUAUGAAUGAUGGAUGCGAUCAUACCAGCACUAACGCACCGGAUCCCAUCAGAACUCCGAAGUUAAGCGUGCUUGGGCGAGAGUAGUACUUCCGUGUAAGUGAAAAAAAAUUAUUAUUUAUUUUUUGGAGAAACGAUGUCGUUAGGACAUGUGAUGGGGGAGUGUCGGGAGGCGUCGGAGGCUAGGUCGGUGUGGGGCAGGCUAGGGCGUUGGGAGGAAGGAGGUGCUCAAUAGAGUUUAGAGCGCUAUGAAUGAUGGACGCGAUCAUACCAGCACUAACACACUGGAUCCCAUCAGAACUCCGAAGUUAAGCUUGCUUGGGCGAGAGUAGUACUAGGAUGUAAUUGAAAAAAAAUUAUUAUUUAUUUUUUUGCAGAAACGACGUAUUUAGGACAGGUGAUGGGGGCGUGACGGGAGGCGUCGGGCGUCGGUGCGCGAGGAGGCUAGGUCGGUGGGGGGCAGGCUAGGGCGUUGGGAGGAAGGAGGUGUUUAAUAGAAUUUAGAGUGCUAUGAAUGAUGGAUGCGAUCAUACCAGCACUAACGCACCGGAUCCCAUCAGAACUCCGAAGUUAAGCGUGCUUG
rnacentral:lncRNA from 1 species